rnacentral:lncRNA from 1 species
CAAAAACAGGAAGUGUCCUAAAUGAAUCGCAGGAACAAACAGCAUCUGCAGAACUGAUUAAGCCCACCGGUCCCCAGUGUGUGUGGGACGUGUGCCGGUCUUGAGUUUAUUAUGGAACUGGCACUGAGGAAAAGUGCAGUUCCAGAGAGUCGUGAGGACGCAAGCCACACUCAGGCGGCAGACAUGCAACCCAACGAAAGAGACAACAUCCUGCAGUUUCCAGCCACGAUGAUGGGCAGCCAGCGAGAGACUGGGCAGAGGAGAAAAUGGCUGGUGGUGCUCUCCUUCACGGGGGCCAUCCUUCUGGCCAUCAUUCUGACUGCUGUGACCAUGCACUACACAUAUCAUAAAGGAGCAAAGAAUCCUCCCAAAGCUCCAUCAUCGCCAAAGGUGAAGAAUGAACGCCGGGAGACAUGGCGUCGCUACGAGGGUGACUCCUAUCUGUUCUGGCACAGUGAUAAUGCAGACUGUGACAGUGCAAAGGAGUUCUGUGCAGAGAGAAAGGCCAACCUCACCUUAAUUGAUCAGAAUAAUCUGCAAUGGCUGCAAGGCAUGUCAAAAGGAAAGAGGCUAUGGGUACUUCAAGAGUCGGAGGGAUCAGGCUCUGAAGACCAGCAGAACGCAGAGGCUGGUGAUGUGACAUGUGCUCUACUUAAGGCUGACUCUAACAGAAAAUUAGGAGAUGGCUGGGUUUGCAUAAGACGAAGCUGAAUACCCACACAGGAAACACACUCAAAGCACUGUGCCAUCUAAAAAUAUGUAUUUGUUUCGAAACACACACACACGCAUUUCCUCCACAGGCCAUAUAUGGAGGCUAGUAUCCAUGACAUCAAUGUCUGGUUGUACACAGAGGCAAUGUUCCCUGUAGAGACAAACCCACACACUCCUUGGGCUGCAGUCUGAAGGGGGGCACGUGGAGUAUUCAUGCUUAUAUUGUCUGUGUACAUUAAAACAUGUAUACAUAUUUUUUUUUCCACCAAAGAUACAGUUCAACAUAUUCUCUUGAUUAUUUCAUCCAGAGGGAAACCACAACUACAGCGUCACAGUUAUACGUGUUGAGACAACAUAGGGCUCCACGACUGUAUUAUCUACAUAUUUUUACUGUUCCACUGUGAAAUACCUUGACUAAUUGAACAGCACUUUGGUCAACGUGAGUUGUUUUUAAAUGUGCUUUAUAAAUAAAUUUGACUUUGACUUUGGUUUGUUUAACA